UACAGAGGCUGCAAGCGUUAUUCGGAUUCACUGGGCGUAAAGGGUGCGUAGGCGGCCAUGUGUGUGAGGCGUGAAAGCCUGGAGCUUAACUCCAGAAUUGCACUUCAAACUACAUGGCUAGAGUAUUGGAGAGGGUAGCAGAAUUCAUGGUGUAGCAGUGAAAUGCGUAGAUAUCAUGAGGAAUACCAGAGGCGAAGGCGGCUACCUGGACAAUUGCUGACGCUCAGGCACGAAAGCGUGGGGAGCAAAAGGG
rnacentral:rRNA from 1 species